UCCGCCACACGUACUCAACCAGUGGACACUUAGAAUUCUGCCUGCAAGUUUCGGUCAAGCCAUUCUUGGACAUGGGUUCCAUUUGUUCAUUCUAAAAUCUGGUCUCCUUAGCUUUUUCCUAUGCACGGUGGAGAGUAACAGAAUCAAACCAUCCUUCCUAAUCUUUUUCCCACAACCGUGAACGUGCAAGUGGAGGGUGUAACACUACAAUAUUCUUCCUUCAUCACACACUCUGCAAACCGUGACCUGCACCAGAAUAGAGACCAUCACCUAGCUUCCUUUUCCCCUUCCCCCCCACCUAUUCGGCCAAUAAUCAAUAAUACCCAGCUUGCAUGUGUUCUUCUCUUUCCUCUCCACGUCGCGAGUUCAAGAGCAGAGGACAAGCAACCUAACACUCCUUUUCUCCUUAGUCGGCCGAAUCAUUAGCUUCAAGGAAAGCUCAACGCUGGCUCAUCUAUUAUUUUCCUUUUUCAGCCGUGAUGAAAUCCUCGAGGAACUUAAGAACCGUACCAUGAAGGGUAGAGUAGGAGGAAAGUUGAGCAGCAUCGGGUCACUGUCUGCGUCAGCCGUAUGGUACUUCUUGGGUGUCUUACUCAUGGACGUGCACGUGACUCUUAUUGAGUGAGCUGAAUUUGGUACUGUUGAUUAUUGCUUGGACACAAGGAGGACGAAAGAGCAUAUGAGGACGUGGUUAUAUGAUAAUUGCUGUUCAUUGCUGCAUGCUUGGAUUUUCUGCUGUCACUGUUGGAUGACUGUAUUAUUAAUUAACGUAUUGUGAAUUCGGAUUAUUGCGGAAAGUAUGAUUUGGCUACUGUAUUAUGAGUUUUAUGACCAGAAUGCUUUUCGGAAAAUAAUUCUGUAAAUGUUUUGCGAAAAUAUUUUUGAACGUCUUGUUUAGUGCUGAAUUAUAAACUACUUUUGCGAGCACUUUACGAGUUGUCGUUUUGGGGCUACAGACCUCCGAUUGA